rnacentral:rRNA from 1 species
CAGAGGGGCAAGCGUUAUUCGGAAUUAUUGGGCGUAAAGGGCGCGUAGGCGGCUUUUCAAGUGGCGGGUGAAAUCCCUCGGCUUAACCGAGGAACUGCCUGCCAGACUGAAUGGCUUGAGACCGGGAGAGGUGAGUGGAAUUCCCAGUGUAGCGGUGAAAUGCGUAGAUAUUGGGAGGAACACCAGUGGCGAAGGCGGCUCACUGGACCGGUACUGACGCUGAGGCGCGAAAGCGUGGGGGGCAAACAGGAUUAGAUACCCUGGUAGUCCACGCCGUAAACGAUGAGUGCUUGGUGUAGCGGGUAUCGACCCCUGCUGUGCCGACGUCAACACAUUAAGCACUCCGCCUGGGGAGUACGGUCGCAAGACUG